AAACUUCUGCAAUGGACGAGAGUCUGACGGAGCAACGCCGCGUGAGUGAUGAAGGAUUACGGAUCGUAAAACUCUGUUGUUAGGGAAGAACAAGUACCGGAGUCACUGCCGGUACCUUGACGGUACCUGACGAAAAAGCCACGGCUAACUACGCGCCAGCAGCCGCGGUAAUACGUAGGUGGCAAGCGUUGUCCGGAUUUAUUGGGCGUAAAGCGCGCGCAGGCGGUCUGUUAAGUCUUAUGUGAAAUCUUACAGCUUAACUGUAAGCGGUCAUUGGAAACUGGGAGACUUGAGUGCAGAAGCGGAGAGUGGAAUUCCAUGUGUAGCGGUGAAAUGCGUAGAGAUAUGGAGGAACUCCAGUGGAUAAGGCGACUCUCUGGUCUGUAACUGACGCUGGGGUGCGAAAGCGUGGGGAGCAAACA
rnacentral:rRNA from 1 species